AACAGUUUAAUUUUUUUUGGAAACGGUAAACUUUAGAAAACAAUGUUAUAGGACUUUUUUGUUCUACAUUGUGUAUUAUAUCCAUACCUUAAAG
rnacentral:lncRNA from 1 species